AGUCAAGUUUCACCAAACUACUGGUUCACGCAGCUACCCUGUGCAAUGUGAUAUUCUGGGAGAAAAAUACAAGGAUAAAGAACUCACUGCACUGGAUUUAUUCAAUGAGUGCCACUAUAGCAGCAAAAAGAAAGGCUACACCGAUGCUGUGCAAGCUGCAAUUACUGAAAUGGAAAACAAGGCCUCUCAACCUACAGAAGAUGGCCAACAAUCAAACUCUUCAACCAAGGCUGUUGCUGAAGUGCUUGCUGAGCACACUAAGAAGCCAAUGUUUCUUAAGCAUGUGGGGAUCCAACACGUGCAUGAGAGAUCCAGUCGUAGCGAAGGUGAAGCAGAAGUGGACUAGAAGAGGGAAAGUGCUGAGCUUCGGAUGCUUGUUCAAACCUUGACCAAUCACUUAAAGGAAUCAGAAGAAGCAAGGACCAAGCAAGAAGAGGAGAACAGGAAAAAGCAAGCUGAGAUGGAUGCUAAAAUAGAGUUUUUGCUAAAGCAGAUGCAAUCAAGAUCAGCUCAAGGGUAAGUUUGUCCAAACAAAAUACUGUUGGAAGCUGUGAAAGUGAUAUAGCGCUGGAACCUGCCUUUCCCUAGAAGUAAUUUUGUAGGGAAAACUGCCUCUGAUGUUGGUGGAUGCAAAACUGGAUGCAUUUUGCUGUUUGAUGGAAGUUGUGGUGGACGUGUUAUGCUGGAUGGUUAGUGCAUCUGCACGUGGAAGUUUAAUUAUGUUGGAUAUGUAAUGUUGGAUCAGUACUUAUCUUAUUUUUAUCAUUUAUGCU